rnacentral:lncRNA from 1 species
AGGGGAUUGGAGAGAAGCUUCAUGCUUCGGGUCGGGGAAGAAAAGACGGAGAAUUGGAUUUUUCUUCUUCAUAGAGUUUUGGGAAGACUGAGGCAAUCGUUGCUGAAGUCAGUGUUGUAAUGGUGAAUCAGGAUUUUUUAAUGAAGUGGGUUUGAUUACUCUUGAUUGUUUUGUGAAAUCGAGUUACGUUUGUGAUUGAAGAAUUAAAAGGGUCUCUAUAGGAUUGAGUAUGCGGAGUGAAUGAAAUUUAUUGGCUUAAUCUAACAAGAUAAUCAGUAGAUACAAGAUCGUAAGUACAAAGCGGUAUCAAAGAUUAGCAGAUUGGGUUGUUUGGGGUUCUUUGUAACGUCUAGAGACCUACCGGCUGGGGCAAAAAGGACUUCAACAAGCAGUCGAAGGGCAUCCGUAUAGAUUAACGGUGUAUUCUUGCAGUCGUUUAUAUUCCAGCAAUCAAAAACUGAUAGACUGCUUGACUAUUGGCGAAUCUCCAUACUACCUUCUACGGCCAGAUGUCAGGCGCAUUCUCGAGUAGAAAAGCACGUGAUACGACAAAAGUGGUGAACUCGACGUGAAUGCUUGAGGUGGAAGGUAUUGGAUAUUGGUUGAUUUUAUCUUUAUUUUAUGGAAAACGAAAAUAAAAAUUUUGAAGGAUUUUUGGGAGGAGUUUCUGGUGAGGAUUCUUCUAAAGGACAAGGUAGGCACAUGGAUCCGUCUAUUGCUAGUAUGUUUCAAGCCUUCUCAUUAUCAAUGCAGCAACAACAAAGCAAUGAUCGAAAGGAAGCUUUGGCAACCAAAGCAUUGCAAGCAGUGGUUAAUAAAAUUGAUCAAUUUGAUGGAAGGAAUAUUUCAAGGUAUUUAAGAUGUUAUGUUCGUGAAAUGGAAUUAAAUCAGGUUUCUGAAAAGAAAAUGGUUGAACUAUUUGGACUUGCCACGAUACCAGAGAUAAGAGACUACAUUACAUCGAUUAUGGAUCGUUAUGGAAAUUUUUGGGAGGUUUUUUCACAUGCAUUGAAAGACGAAUAUUUCUUGGAAGAUGCUGAUCGCGUUACUAAGAAGCUGUUUCUGGAAUGGAUUGAACAGCCCAAUAAGAAUUUGCAAUUAACAGAGCUACUAAGGGAAUUUGAAAGGCAAUACUCUCAAUUAUCGAAGGUAGAAAAAUUGACAUUGGAGCCAAACAAAGUUGAUCUAUUUCUUCAAGCUGCUGAUGGAGAAUUGCAAGGGAAAUUAGAACUCCUUCUUGAAGACAAAGAAGAAGAUGAAGGAUUGACAACGAAGUGGAAGAACAUUGAAGAUGCGGUGGGGUUGCUUACAAAAAGAGAAAAGAGGAAGGAUAGGAGCAAUAUUCCGAAAACAGUACAAGUACCCAAAGCUCUAAUACGUACAAUACCACCAACAAUGCCUACAGUUCAACCUUCGACAUCCUUAUCAAAGAAAGCAGAUAUAGGGAUGGAAGAAAUUAUACGAGAAAUGCGAGAUCUUCAAAUCAAAUUGGCAAGACUUGAAGAGAAUACUUCUACAAAUAAUUUAAAGAAUGUUUCAAAACAAAGAUAUGUACAAAGAUGCAUUUGGUGUGAUGACGCUUCACACACUAGGAAAGAUUGCAAUGAAUUUAAUAAUAUGAUACGACAAGGAAUUAUUUGCUGGAAAGAUGGAAAGAUAGCAUUGAAAGAUAGGGAGGAUCUUCUUCAAACUAAUUUUGGCAAGGGAGGAAUGAGAGCAUUGGUUCAAAAUUACCUAAAAGAGCAUGAAACAGCAGCACGAGAGAGUGCAAGUUAUGGUGCUAGAGUAGAUGAUGACCUUAGUGGAAGUACGGAAACUAGUGAGUUUUGGGCUUCUGCCGUUUCUACAAUGCAAGAAGGAAAAUUACCUUGAGAAGCAUUAUUGAGGACUGCAUCUACAAUAUGAGGUCUAACAGGUUGGGAGGAUUCUGUUGAGUCUCUUUCAGUUCAUGCAUAUAUUGCUAAGAGCCAACAUGAAGCUUUGAUGGAAGAAAAGAGACGAGGAAAUUUUGAUGAUACUAGAAAAGGAAAUUCUUCUAAGAGGCAAACUCGAGGAGACAAGGCCUGGGAGGCAGCUUCACAAGAAUUGCUUGUAAAGGAUACCUCAGCAUCAUUGGGAGAAAAAACAAAGGAGACAAAAGAUAAGGGCAAAUCAAUUGCUUAUAAGCUACUUUCUGACAUUGAAGUGGCAACAAAUUUGAAAGGGGUGUUGGAAGAACGUAUAUUAAACGCUAAGGUGGAAUUCACAUUGAAAGAAGUUUUGGGAAUUGCAAAGAAGGAGUUUCAUGAUGUUAUCAUUGACAGCAUUAAGCGAAAGAGGAAAUUAAUGGGUGAAACUGGAAUGAAUCAUGCUAUUGAUGCAAGAAUAUGUAGAGAUGAAGAAGAGGUUGAUAUUAGUUACAAGCAACCAACAACUGAAAAGAAUGGGUAUAAUCAACGAGUAUGUUUUGAAGAUUCUAGUGACAAGGAAAUGGAAACUUUGAGCCAUUAUACUCGGAAACAUUGGGCAAGGGCAACUACUGAGGUAUUGGUGAAAGUAGGAGAUAUAGAAGAACCAAUAGUUGCUUUGGUCGACCAUGGUUCUGAAAUAAAUCUUAUGUCUAAAGAUCUUUAAAAGAAGCAAAAAUGGCCAAUUGAUAUGGAACAUGGAUGGGCAAUUCGAGCGGCUAAUAACACAUGGGGCGAAUUAUAUGGAGCUUGUCCAGAUGUCAAAAUUCGGAUUGGAGAUGUUGCGUCGGAGCAACAUUUCUUUGUUCAAGAUACAACAUCUUAUCCGUUGAUUUUAGGACAACCUUAUAUUACGGCAACACGGAUGGAAAAAAAAGUACUUGACGAUGGUUCUGCUUUUGCAAGGGUACGUAGCAAAGAUGAGAGGAAAGCUGUACAAUUUCUAACAGUACCUCCUAACCAUGAACGGAAUCGAGAUAGGUUGAGGGAGAAACCAUUGCCAAAGAUUGUUGAAGGAUUUAAGGAUUUUGGGAAGGUACCACUGUAAAGCGAGAUUAUGGAGGUACAAAGGAGGAGGUACUCUCAUGAGAUGAAGGUGCCUUUGAUGCGAGUUUUAUUGAUAUAUUGGAGAAUGGAAAUAUUAUGUAUAAGAAAGUUGAUGAUUUUAAAAGAAAAGAAAGAAAAAGAUUAUAUAAUAUUGAAGGAGAAUUAUGCAAGUUAGGUACAUUGCAAGAUGAUGAGAGGAUUUUAGGUAUUUAUGAAGAAAAUGGACUGGAAGAUUCAUUGGAAUUGAUUACAUCUAUUGGAUUAGGGGAUAAUGAUAAGAUUGUUGAGAUUCAUUCAAGAGAGGUUUAUACCAUGCUUGAAUCUUUUCAAGCACCAGAAGUCACUGUAGAGACGAGAUAUAAAACGGCAGAUAAGAAGGUAAAGCCUAUUGCCGGACCAUUACCAGAAGAUUCUAAAGAACAAAUGGGAGAAGCAUCAAAAGAAGCAAGUUUAAGAGAUCCAAUGAGUAUUGGACAUCAGUUUACUAAAGAGACUUUUGAAGAAUUGAAGAUUGGUUCUGAUGGUUCUUUAUUGCCAGAGGAAAUCACUUGCUUCAAAAAGAUGUUGGCUAAACAAGAUAGAUCGUUUGCCUUCGAAUCUCAUGAAAUUGGAUGUGUGGAUCCAAAUAUUAUAAGACCUAUGGUUAUCUUCAUUGUACCACAUGUACCUUGGAAUCUAAGACCGAUUCCAGUACCGAGGGCACAUUUACCUAAAUUGGUUGAACUAUUAAAAGAAAAGAUAAAGAUGAAAAUAUUGGAACCUUCAUUUGCACCAUAUUCUAGUCGAUGGUUUACGAUACCUAAGAAGAAUGGGUCACUACGGUUUAUUCAAGAUAUGUAACCGAUGAAUGCAGUAACUGUCAGGAAUACAGGAAUUGGACCUAUUGUGGAUGAAUUUGCUGAGGCGUUUGCUGGAAGGGCGAUCUAUUCAAUGGGUGACUUGUAUUCAGGUUAUGAUCAAUUUCAACUUGCCGAAGGAAGUAGAGAUAUGACAACAAUGAGGAAACCACUUGGAUUGGUUAGAAUGUGCACUCUUCCUCAAGGCGCGACCAACUCAGUUGCGCAUAUGAUGAAUGGGAUGAAUAAGGUAUUGAGAGAUUUUAUUCUGAAAAAGACUAUGCCUUUUUUAGAUGAUGUUCCUAUAAAAGGGUGCAGAGAAGGAGACAAGGAUGAAACUUUAGAUACGAGGGGGUGUCGCAAAUAUGUUGUUGAUCAUAUACAAGAUUGUGAAAAGAUUUUAACUCGGCUUGGAGAAGUUCAUCUUACAUUAUCGGGUAUGAAGUCCGUAUUUGGAGUAUGAGAGGUUGUGAUUGUUGGACAUUUAUAUAGAUCUUACGGAAGAAAACCAGAUCUGACUAAAAUUGAUGCAAUUAGAAGGAUGAAAGAGGAUUUGUGAUUCUUUAACAGAGGUUCGCAGGUUUUUGGAUGCAUGUGUAUUUUAUCGAAUCUGGAUCCUUCAUUUUGCUCACAUAGCGAAUCCAUUAUAUGAACUGUUACGCAAGGGUUACCGAUUUAAAUGGGAAGAAAGGCAUAUUCAGGCAAUGCAAAGAUUGAAGAAUUGUUGAUGUUACCUCCAAUAUUGAGGAAGGUUGAUUAUAAGUGCAAUAGACUAGUGAUUCUUACUGUGGACACUAGUCCAAUUGCCAUUGGAUGGGCUAUGGGUCAAGAUGAUUCAAAUGGGAGUAGAUUUGCAGUUCGAUUUGGGGCUAAAGUUUUAAGUAUUCGUUAGCGUGCAUAUUCGUAAGUCAAAAGAGAACUUUGGGGAAUCGUUUUGACUAUGAAAGCUGAAAGGGAUUAUUUGAUUGGGGCAGCAGUAGUAAUUGAAACAAAUUACUUGCCAUUGCUUGGAAUGAUUAUUAACUGUUCAACACCAGAUAUUGCAAUGUUGAGAUGGAUUGCUUAUAUUAAGUCACUAAAUCCAGAAUUUAAGCAUAUUACUGAGAAAGAUAAUUUAGUAGCAGACAUGCUAUCUCGAGCAAGAUAUGAGAGGGAGGACGAAAUGGUUGAAGACAUUGAUGACGUCGGAUUGAAAUUCUAUUCAAUAUCAAAUCUCAACAGAGAAGACAAGCUAUUUCUUGAAGAAUCUUAUGAAGGAGAAUUAUUGGAUAUUGGUCAUUACUUGAAUACCUUGAGUAAGUAGGGGAAUUGGUCUACAGAAAAAUUCAAAAAAAUAAGAAAAAAAGCAUAUGGAUUUUUACUUCGAGAUGGAUUCUUAUGGAAGAGACCGAAGAAAGGAAUUGGGAUGCCACAACGAGUGAUAGGCAAAAGGGAAGAAAGACUAAAAUUAUUAAAAGAGUUUCAUGAUAGUUUAUGGGCAGGGCAUAGAUGAAUCUAGGCUACUUUUGCUAAACUCAAGAAAUGAUAUUGGUGGAAAAAUAUGUAUCGAGAUGUGCUCUCAUUUGUAGAGUCAUGUGAAAUCUGUCAAUCGUAUUCUAAUAUCUAACAUCGAGAUGGUCUUCAUCCUAUGUAUCCUCUGGUUAUUCAUUUUAAAUGGGUUGUUGAUUUGGUUAUUAUGCCGGUUGGGUUAUGGGAGAUGAGAUAUUUGGUUUUAGCUUGCGAAGAUUUAUCAAAUCAAGUAGAAGGAAGAGCAUUGAGGACAAAAUCUACAGAGGGGAUUUGUAGGUUUUUGCUUGAAGAUGUCAUUUGCCGCUACGGAUGCGUAGGAAAAAUCACUGCAGAUCGUGGAGAAUUAAAUGCACAAGAAGCUCGUAAGUUCUUUGAAAGAUGUGGAAUUAAACUAUCACUGACUACUGCUUAUAAUCCAGAAGGGAAUGCAAAAAGCGAACGCGGUCACCCACCGAUUGUGAAAGCAUUGGUUAAAGCUUGUAAUGGGAAAGUUAAAGAGUGGCCACGGCUUUUGUCAUUUGCAUUAUGGGCUGAUCCAACAACACAUAGUUCGGUGACAGGAUAUAUGCCAGUAGAACUUAUGAGAGGUCAAAAACCAAUUAUGCCGAUUGAAGAAAAGGUACUUACUUGGAGUAUGCUACCAUGGGAAGAUGGAUUGACAAAAGAAGAACUUCUGGCUAUUAGGAUUCGACAAUUGGAACAAAGAACGAAAGAUGUGCAGAUAGCAUUGGAAAGGUUAAAAAGAGCAAGGUUACAAAACAAGGCGCGAUUCGAUAAGCAACAUCGAUUGAGACCAAAAGCAAUCGAGGAAGGUGACUGGGUACUUGUUUAUGAUAAUAGUCUGGAUAAUCAACAUAGUACUUUGCAAAAAAUUUCAAAACAUUGGUUUGGACCAUAUGUGGUAACAACAGUUCAUGAUAAUGCAACUUACUCAUUACGGGAGUUAGAUGGUACAAAAUUGAAAAUACCAAUUACAGGGAAGCGAGUAAAAAUAUUUAAACGAAGACAAGCAAAGAUGAAUAUGGAAGACCUUAAUGAAGGUAUAGAGAUUCAACAGCAAGAAGAUGAAAGUGAUUUGGAUAAUGAAGGUGACGAAGAUGAACAUGAUAAAGACGUAGAAAAUAUAUUCUGAAUCAAACAGCAAUUGGGUAAAUUGGUGCAUAUCGGAGGAUGCACAGGUUCAUAGGGGGUGGAUGUCGUGUUGUAACACGAGUAUACCGUGAAAAUAUAAAGAAAGGGGACUUUUAUUAAUGUUCAGUUACCUCGAAUAUUGGGAGCAACGACCAAAUCCGGUGCAAAUACUAAGUGGCCAGGUUUAGUCACCCCGUUACAGUCAGCCAGGGGAUACUGAAAUGCUCCAUUCGAUUCCAAUAACGGAAGUCAGCAGGAAGAAAAAGGACCAAUUCACACGACGGAUGAGCCUGGUUCGAAGAGCCAAUUCGAUCCAAUUUCAAGAAUCCAAUCCGGGUCCUCUUACCUAAUAUGAGACCUGCAUUGGUCGGGCAAACCAAUGCAGUCUAAUUAUGGGAAAAUCUAGGUCUUACUACAGGCCUCAGCCAGUCUAACGCGAAGGACCAAUUUGAUCAAAUUACGAGAACAUCCGAGUUACUACGGGCAUCAUACUCAAUAUGAGACCUGAAUUGGUCGGACGACUCAAUGUAGACCGAGUACGGGGUUUCGAUUCUGUUUCAGGCUGUCCUAUUCUCCAUGUCGUUUUGAGGAACGUUGUUUUCGGUAAAUGGAUCUCUUAAAGGUAAAAACAGAGGAGAAAGCUUUGCCGGUGGGAGCCAAUUUUGGAUCUAAGCUCUAACGAUGGGAGCCAAUUCCGGAUCCAAGAUGGAAGAUUGAAGAAAUUCAAAGGAUAAGGUUAGGGGGAGAAUAAGUUUUUAGGGGGGGUUUUUUUUUUCAGAUCAGGGUUUUUUGGAUCGAAGAGCUAGCUUCAAGCUCUUUGCAAAGUUACUAGUUCGGUUUCAUUGGAGGUUUUUGAAGAUCAAAGGGGAUUGGAGAGGAGCUUCAUGCUUCGGGUCGGGGAAGAAAAGACGGAGAAUUGGAUUUUUCUUCUUCAUAGAGUUUUGGAAAGACUGAGGCAAUCGUUGCUGAAGUCAGUGUUGUAAUGUUGAAUUGGGAUUUUUUAAUGAAGUGGGUUUGAUUACUCUUGAUUGUUUUGUGAAAUCGAGUUACGUUUGUGAUUGAAGAAUUAAAAGGGUGUCUAUAGGAUUGAGUAUGCGGAGUGAAUGAAAUUUAUUGAGUUAAUCUAACAAGACAGUAAGUGGAUACAAGAUCGUAAGUACAAAGCGGUAUCAAAGAUUAGCAGAUUGGGUUGUUCGAGGUUCUCUGUAACGUCUAGAGACCUACCGGCUGGGGCAAAAAGGACUUCAACAAGCAGUCGAAGGGUAUCCGUAUAGAUUUACGGUGUAUUCUUGCAGUCGUUUAUAUUCCAGCAGUCAAAAA